GCACGUGGUAGGCACGGGGCCCAGUUCCUCAAGCAGAGGGAGGCACUCCCCAGGGACUCCCAGGAAUGGCCGUAAGGAGCGUGGCAUGGCUUGGCAGGCCCUUGCUAAACGUGGGCCCUGGGAAGUGCUGUCACCCUGCUUGUUUUUCCCUUUCUUUUUCUCUUCCUGCCUCUUUUCUUCCUUUCCACCUGAGCCCCUCACCUAGAUGAGAAGUGCCCCCCUGCCUGAGGAAUGCAUCAGUCAGAGACCCUUCCUGGGACUCCCGCAGGCUCCCACCAUCUGACCUGCGGAAGGAAGGAUUGAGGUAUUUAUUGCUCUGGGAGCAGGUAGGAGAUGUUUCCAAAACCUGUCUACCCCUGGGUGCUAUGGAAUCUGCAUCACCCUCAUUUUCCUAGAGCCUGGGGCCAGAUGGGGGAGCGCACUUCAGAUGCUCACACAUCUGCGGAGUGAGUAACCUCACCCGCUUGGCCUCUUCACCCUGAAGUUACAGUUAUUAAAAUAAUUGACAAGCUCUUGGAGAUGUCAGCCCUCCACCGUUGAGAAUCUAAUAACAAUAGUAUUGUGCCCAGUGUCUCUGGGCUUUGACAGUGGAUUACUUAUUUACCAGAGGCCCCAGGGUCACUGGCACACGCUUUCUUUUCCUAAUAACCCCAACCUUGUGGCUCCCCUAAGGCUGGGGUGAGCUCUGUGUUCCUCUAGUUUCUGUAAGAUGGUGAACUUGGCAAAAGCUGUCAUUAAACAGAAGCUAGGAGAAAGCCAAGCUUGUGGAAUCAGAAUGGGUAUUGGCAUUUACUGCUCUCUUCUUGAAUUUCUGCAUUUUUUGGCUUUUUCUUCUCCAAGACUGGGGUCCGUGGAACACAGGUGUCCUGGGAGAUAGGAAUAGGUGCUCUGAGAAAAGAGGGUUCCGUAGUCCAGAAAAUUUGGGAAACACCACCUGGGUACUCUCUCUGAGAUGCACAAGGUACAUUAGCCUAGAUAAAGUCAAGAAGUCCUGCAAUAAAAAUACCUUCUAAACCUUGUUUUAGCCAGGGACUCUCAAACUCACUUGACAGUAGGGCCUCCCAUUUGGGGAGUAUACAUCAACAAUCUCCAGAUGUGCUAAUGUUCCUUGGAACACACAUUGGGAAGCACUGUUUUAGGGGGCCUGCAGCUGCUGAUGACUCCUGGUUCUGUGUCCUUUGGGAUGCUCUAGCUCAUGGUUCUCUAACUUCAGAGCAUCUGAGUCCUCUGCUGGGCGUGUUAAAACACAGACUGCAGGGCCUACCCCCAGAGUUUCUAAUUCAGUAGAUCUGGGAUGGGUCUGAGAAUUUGUUUUCUAAUGACUUUCUAGGUGAUGAUGAGUCUGCUGGUCCAGGAACCACCGUUUGGGGACCACUUCUCUUAGCUUGACGUUUUCUAGAAGUGGACAUCCAGGAGUUCCAAGAAAACUUGGCAUGUUUUUGAGUGUUGUCACCCCUCGUGAGUGUUGGCUGUCUUACCUGUUGAAUGGGAGCAUUGCUCACUUCCUAGGGCGGUGAGGAUAACCAGCCUGGCGUGUGGAAGGGGCCCAGAGCAGGACCAGUUGCUAAGUUUUAAAUAAAUACUACCUUUGGGGAUCCAGAUGUUGAAACAUACUAUAAAACUUCUAUAAUUGAAACAGUAUGAUACUGGUGCAUGAAUAGACAAGUAGACCAGUGGAACAGAAUAGAGAGCCUGGAAAUAGAUCCAAGUACAUGAUAAAGGUGACAUCUCAAUGAUGAUUGGGGAUAAAGGUGGAGUUUUAAAUAAAUGGUGCUGAGAUGACUGAGUAGCCAUUUGGAAAAAGAUAAAAAUAGAUCCAUAUCUCACAUCAUACCCAAAAAUAAAUUCCAAGUGGUUAGGGAUCUAAAUGUAAAGAAUGAAACCAUGCAAGUACUAGAAGAAUGAAUUCUUCUUCUUUAAAACCUUGAUGUAGGGAAAACUUUGUAACUCUAAUUCAAAAUCUAGGAACAAUAAAAGAUUGAUAAAUCUGACU
ensembl:lncRNA